AUGACUUUAUAUUCGCCUAUUAAUUAGAUAAAUAUUGCACUCUAUUAUCAAUUUGUUAUUGUGUGCCUCGGCUGAUUCCUGGACGAGGGAUUACACACAUGUAAGCGUGUGGAGUUUUGGAUAGAAAUUCCGGGCGUGACACCUGUCGCCCCACGAGGCGCCGUCAACGAGUUGGGUUGUUUGGGAAUGCAGCCCAAAUCGGGCGAUAAACUCCGUCCAAGGUUAAAUACAGGCGAGAGACCGAUAGCGAACAAGUACCGCGAGGGAAAGAUGAAAAGGACUUUGAAAAGAGAGUCAAAGAGUGCUUGAAAUUGUCGGGAGGGAAGCGGUCGGGGCCGGCGAUGCACCCCGGCCGUAUGCGGAAUGGCUCCGGCUGGUCCGCCAAUUGG
rnacentral:ncRNA from 1 species